rnacentral:rRNA from 1 species
GACGAACGCUGGCGGCGUGCUUAACACAUGCAAGUCGAACGGAAAGGCCCUGCUUUUGUGGGGUGCUCGAGUGCCGAACGGGUGAGUGGCACGUGAGUAACCUGCCCUUGACUUUGGGAUAACUUCAGGAAACGGGGGCUAAUACCGGAUAGGAGCCCCUGUUGCAUGGUGGGGGUUGGAAAGUUUCGGCGGUUGGGGAUGGACGCGCGGCUUAUCAGCUUGUUGGUGGGGUAGUGGCUUACCAAGGCUUUGACGGGUAGCCGGCCUGAGAGGGUGACCGGCCACAUUGGGACUGAGAUACGGCCCAGACUCCUACGGGAGGCAGCAGUGGGGAAUAUUGCACAAUGGGCGGAAGCCUGAUGCAGCAACGCCGCGUGCGGGAUGACGGCCUUCGGGUUGUAAACCGCUUUCGCCUGUGACGAAGCGUGAGUGACGGUAAUGGGUAAAGAAGCACCGGCUAACUACGUG